UACGUAGGGUGCGAGCGUUGUCCGGAAUUACUGGGCGUAAAGAGCUUGUAGGCGGUCUGUCGCGUCGAUUGUGAAAACUUGCAGCUCAACUGCAAGCUUGCAGUCGAUACGGGCAGACUAGAGUACUGCAGGGGAGACUGGAAUUCCUGGUGUAGCGGUGAAAUGCGCAGAUAUCAGGAGGAACACCGGUGGCGAAGGCGGGUCUCUGGGCAGUAACUGACGCUGAGAAGCGAAAGCGUGGGUAGCGAACAGG
rnacentral:rRNA from 1 species